CCUGAACAUCGACAAGGCGCAGGAGGAGAGCUACCGGAGCAGAAUCAAGAAGGUGACCAGGUGCUACGACAUCCGGGCGAAUUACUUGGUUUGGAAGAAGGACAAAAGGUGAGACCUGGGAAACCUCGCUGUUCUUUCGCUCCCAGCUGGGGUCACCAUCUGUUGAGGGUUACCUCGGUGGAAGCCAGCAAUCUUCUCCAGUUGGACGGUCAACCACUGAUGCCCUACACGUCGAUGAAGCCCAAUAGAUAAAGACCAUCGACUGUCUGAGCCCCCCAGGACGUGUCCCAUCCACCAGAGCCAGUGAGUUUGGAGGGGGACCAGCUUGAGAUCCUAGGGGUUCUGCAACACCCAGACGUGGAGCCACCUGAUGUCCUCCAUUACAUCAUCUGCAGCUACUGUUGUCAUGUCAUUAUCUGCUAAGAAUGUUCUUGCUAUCAUACUGGGCACAAUGAGAGACACACAGAUUAACUAAAAACACUACCAACACUCAGAACAAAGAGAGGUUCUGCCUGGACUUUGCAGUCUCCCUCUUCAAGUCCACCUUCCGAGAAUGGUCUGUUGAGAAGAAGCAAUAGACGGAACCUCCCAACCAACCUCCAUAUUCCAUACACCAGAAUUCAUUGUUUGU